rnacentral:rRNA from 1 species
GACGAACGCUGGCGGCGUGCUUAACACAUGCAAGUCGAACGGAAAGGCCCUGCUUUUGUGGGGUGCUCGAGUGGCGAACGGGUGAGUAACACGUGAGUAACCUGCCCUUGACUUUGGGAUAACUUCAGGAAACUGGGGCUAAUACCGGAUAGGAGCUCCUGCUGCAUGGUGGGGGUUGGAACGUUUCGGCGGUUGGGGAUGGACUCGCGGCUUAUCAGCUUGUUGGUGGGGUAGUGGCUUACCAAGGCAUUGACGGGUAGCCGGCCUGAGAGGGUGACCGGCCACAUUGGGACUGAGAUACGGCCCAGACUCCUACGGGAGGCAGCAGUGGGGAAUAUUGCACAAUGGGCGGAAGCCUGAUGCAGCAACGCCGCGUGCGGGAUGACGGCCUUCGGGUUGUAAACCGCUUUCGCCUGUGACGAAGCGUGAGUGACGGUAAUGGGUAAAGAAGCACCGGCUAACUACGUG